ensembl:lncRNA USP3-AS1 USP3 antisense RNA 1
CCACCAGGUAUUCCCACCCACCAGAAGCUGGCUGUUGUACUCACCCGGAACCAUGGUGCACCACCACAGCGGCGAGGUCAUACAGGCAGCUCUCCGGGCCACUGUUCUCAGGCUACAGAACAAGGAAGAAGGAGCAGUGGUCAAUGACAUCAGUAUCUCGAUGACCUCUACCCUCUCCAUGUGAUGACAAUCUUACUGAAGAGCCAUUUUUUCACCAUGCUAAAAAGGCCAGUUGGGUCCAGCAGCUUUGCCUCUCUACCCUUUUAUCACCAAAGUAUACUGCUGAGAAAGAAUCAAAUGAAAAGAAAAAAGACUCAACAAGACCUCACUCAUAUUAACUGGACUCUACAAGCAGUGAGCAUCCAGACCUGCAUUUGGUUACAAAAGAAGCCUUCAAGCUAUUUUCAUCAGCUUCCUAAUCAAGUUAAAAAAUAAACCACAAAACUGAGUAUCCA